CCAUGGGUCGGAUCUCAGUCCGAUUCCUUCCCGUCUUAUUCGAAUCCGAUGGAAUGAUUGGAAAUUUAUUGGAAUAUUUGGGGGGGGGGUUUUUUUUUUUUUUUUUUUUUUUUUUUGGCCCUUCCCUUAGCUGGCCCGCAGAACGGGGGUUUAUAAUUGAGUGCGGGCAGAGGGGGGUUCCUUUUUAACGGCGGGGCGUUAAAACCGGGUAACCCCUUGGAGCGGGAAAUCCGGAAACCGGGUUAACCCGAAGUGUUUGCACCCAAGUUAAAAAAAAAGGGGGUUGGGUCAAAAUAAAGAGGACCCGGCGCUUUAGUAAUUGUGAGGAAAGGUUACCAAGGGAAGGUGGUUGCCGACUUGAGAGGGAUUGGCCACAUGGGAUUGGACACGGCCCGAAUUUUAAGGGAGGCAGCAGUAGGGAUUUUCCGCAAUGACGAAAGUUUGACGGAGCCACGCCGGUUGAGUGAUGAAGGUUUUCGGAUCGUAAAGUUCUUUGUUAGGGAAGAACAAGUACCGUUCGAAUAGGGCGGUACCUUGACGGUACCUAACCAGAAAGCCACGGCUAAAUACGUGCCAGCAGCCGCGGUAAUACGUAGGUGGCAAGCGUUGUCCGGAAUUAUUGGGCGUAAAGGGCUCGCAGGCGGUUUCUUAAGUCUGAUGUGAAAGCCCCCGGCUCAACCGGGGAGGGUCAUUGGAAACUGGGGAACUUGAGUGCAGAAGAGGAGAGUGGAAUUCCACGUGUAGCGGUGAAAUGCGUAGAGAUGUGGAGGAACACCAGUGGCGAAGGCGACUCUUUGGUCUGUAACUGACGCUGAGGAGCGAAAGCGUGGGGAGCGAACAGGAUUAGAUACCCUGGUAGUCCACGCCGUAAACGAUGAGUGCUAAGUGUUAGGGGGUUUCCGCCCCUUAGUGCUGCAGCUAACGCAUUAAGCACUCCGCCUGGGGAGUACGGUCGCAAGACUGAAACUCAAAGGAAUUGACGGGGGCCCGCACAAGCGGUGGAGCAUGUGGUUUAAUUCGAAGCAACGCGAAGAACCUUACCAGGUCUUGACAUCCUCUGACAAUCCUAGAGAUAGGACGUCCCCUUCGGGGGCAGAGUGACAGGUGGUGCAUGGUUGUCGUCAGCUCGUGUCGUGAGAUGUUGGGUUAAGUCCCGCAACGAGCGCAACCCUUGAUCUUAGUUGCCAGCAUUCAGUUGGGCACUCUAAGGUGACUGCCGGUGACAAACCGGAGGAAGGUGGGGAUGACGUCAAAUCAUCAUGCCCCUUAUGACCUGGGCUACACACGUGCUACAAUGGACAGAACAAAGGGCAGCGAAACCGCGAGGUUAAGCCAAUCCCACAAAUCUGUUCUCAGUUCGGAUCGCAGUCUGCAACUCGACUGCGUGAAGCCGGAAUCGCUAGUAAUCGCGGAUCAGCAUGCCGCGGUGAAUACGUUCCCGGGCCUGUACACACCGCCCGUCACACCACGAGAGUUUGUAACACCCGAAGUCGGUGAGGUAACCUUUUAGGAGCCAGCCGCCGAAGGUGGGCACGAGAUGAUAGGGGGAAGUCGACCAACGUCGACCCCC
rnacentral:rRNA from 1 species